rnacentral:rRNA from 1 species
UACGUAGGGGGCGAGCGUUGUCCGGAUUUAUUGGGCGUAAAGAGCUCGUAGGCGGUUCGAUAAGUCGGAUGUGAAAUCUCCACGCUCAACGUGGAGGGGCCAUUCGAUACUGUCGUGACUCGAGUCCGGUAGGGGAGUGUGGAAUUCCCGGUGUAGCGGUGAAAUGCGCAGAUAUCGGGAAGAACACCCGUGGCGAAGGCGGCUCUCUGGGACGGUACUGACGCUGAGACGCGAAAGCGUGGGGAGCGAACAGG